CCUACGGGUGGCAGCAGUGGGGAAUAUUGCGCAAUGGGCGAAAGCCUGACGCAGCGACACCGCGUGAGUGAAGAAGUCUUUCGGGAUGUAAAGCUCUGUCAAGAAGGAAGAUAAUGACGGUACUUCUAAAGGAAGCCCCGGCUAACUACGUGCCAGCAGCCGCGGUAAUACGUAGGGGGCAAGCGUUAUCCGGAUUUAUUGGGCAUAAAGCGCGUGCAGGUUGUAUUUUAAGUCAAGUGUAAAACGCUUCAGCUCAACUGAAGUUUGCAUUUGAAACUGAAAUACUAGAGACUAGUAGAGGAAAGCGGAACUUACGGUGUAGCGGUGAAAUGCGUAGAUAUCGUAAGGAACAUCAGUUGCGAAGGCGGCUUUCUGGCCUAGAUCUGACACUCAAGCGCGAAAGCGUGGGGAGCAAACAGGAUUAGAUACCCCUGUAGUC
rnacentral:rRNA from 1 species